rnacentral:rRNA from 1 species
UACGGGGGGGGCAAGCGUUGUUCGGAAUUACUGGGCGUAAAGGGCUCGUAGGCGGCCAACUAAGUCGGACGUGAAAUCCCUCGGCUUAACCGGGGAACUGCGUCCGAUACUGGAUGGCUUGAAUCCGGGAGAGGGAUGUGGAAUUCCAGGUGUAGCGGUGAAAUGCGUAGAUAUCUGGAGGAACACCGGUGGCGAAGGCGGCAUCCUGGACCGGUAUUGACGCUGAGGCGCGAAAGCCAGGGGAGCAAACGGG